UACAGAGGGUGCAAGCGUUACUCGGAAUUACUGGGCGUAAAGCGUGCGUAGACGGUUAUGUAAGUCGGGUGUGAAAGCCCCGGGCUCAACCUGGGAAUUGCAUUCGAGACUGUGUAGCUAGGGUACGGAAGAGGGAGGCGGAAUUUCAGGUGUAGCGGUGAAAUGCGUAGAUAUCUGAAGGAACACCAGUGGCGAAAGCGGCUUCCUGGUCCAGUACCGACGUUCAGGCACGAAAGCGUGGGGAGCAAACAGG
rnacentral:rRNA from 1 species